UCAACUUCUAUCUACUUUUUGCAGUAGAAGGCUCUGACCCGGUACAGCAUAAAGCUUUCCGAUAUCAGAUGUUCUGUUAACUCCGUAGGCGAUCAAUGUCAUCGACUCUACUGAAGAUGGAUGUACUUCAUAUUUUGCAGACGAACUUUGUGUCUAUUGUAAUCGGAUUUGUCGUUAUUAUUUUAUUGUGGAUGAAUCGAGGCAAACAAAGCAACUCACGUUUGCCUCCUGGUCCUUCACCGAUUCCUCUGCUUGGUAACUUGUUACGAAUGGAUGUGAAAGCGCCAUACAAGCUCUACAUGGAGCUCAGUAAGAAGUAUGGCUCAGUGUUUACUGUAUGGCUGGGCUCUGAACCUGUAGUGGUGAUCUCUGGCUUUCAGGCUAUCAAGGAUGCUUUUGUCACACAAGGAGAAGAGUUCAGCGGCAGAGCCAACUACCCCGUGAUCAUGACAAUCUCUAAAGGAUAUGGGGUGAUGGUGAGCAGUGGGAAGAGAUCAAAAGAUCUUCGCAGGUUCUCGCUGAUGACCCUGAAAACCUUUGGGAUGGGGCGCAGGAGCAUCGAAGAACGUGUCCAAGAAGAGGCUAAGAUACUGGUGAAAACCUUCGGUGAAUAUGGAGAUUCAGUUGUCAAUCCCAAAGAAUUGCUUUGCAGUCUUUGGGCACAGGUUUUGGCAAAAGGCUGUUGAACUUCCAUGUUCAGCAGCCCUAUUGGAGCGGUAGUAACUUUUCAGCUCAUCUCUUUUCAUAGAAUCUUCCAUUGCUUGCCUUCAGAUCACCAUGAGAUGUUUGCUAUCGUAAACAAGGCCAAAGAUUACAUACAAGGGCAAGCAGAAAUCCGCCUUAAAACCCUUAACAUCUCUGAACCUCAGGACUUCAUUGAGGCCUUCCUGGUUAAAAUGCUGGAGGAGAAAGAUGAUCCCAACACUGAGUUCAACAAUGAUAAUAUAGUCAUGACUGCAUGGAGCCUGUUUGCUGCUGGAACAGAAACGACAUCAUCCACCCUAAGACAAUCAUUUCUGAUGAUGAUAAAGUACCCUCACAUUCAAGAGAGUGUUCAGAAGGAGAUAGACGAGGUGAUUGGCUCAAGAGUGCCCACGGUUGACGACAGAGUUAAAAUGCCCUACACGGAUGCUGUCAUUCACGAAGUCCAGCGAUACAUGGACCUCAGUCCCACCUCUGUACCCCACAAAGUGAUCAGAGAUACAGAGUUCUACAACUACCACAUUCCAGAGGGUACCAUGGUCCUGCCUCUGCUGUCCUCUGUGCUUGUUGAUCCCAAACUGUUUAAAAACCCAGAUGAGUUUGACCCAGAGAACUUCCUGGAUGAAAAUGGAGUCUUUAAGAAAAAUGAUGGAUUCUUUGCUUUUGGAGUGGGGAAGCGGGCGUGUCCUGGAGAGGCUCUGGCCAAAGUGGAGCUCUUUCUCUUCUUUACCUCCCUCCUGCAGCGCUUCACUUUCACCGGCACCAAAUCUCCAGAGGAGAUCAACAUCGAGCCAGCGUGCUCCAGCUUUGGCCGCAUGCCACAUUCCUAUGAUUGCUACAUCAAACUCAGGACUGAGGAGUGACCACUUUACUGUGGA